UUUUUAUACUAAUUUAUAUUAUGUAGAACAUUUUUAACUUCGCUAUUAUUAUUUUUAGAGAACAUAUUAUAGUUCUUAAAAGAUAGUCUCGGCCGCAGCGAUUGUCACAACUUGAAAUUGAUAAACAACAUGGUAAAAAGUUUAUUGAGUGAUUUCAACAAAGGGUGAGCAUAUAAGAGUUGUAUUAUUUUAAAGUUUAAUGAUUUUCAAAUUACUUAUUUUUAUGUAAUGUUUUAGAUUCAACGUUUGGAUGAACAAAUGAGUCCACAAGUAACUCAUGAACUUAGAUGGUUAACUCAUGGGCCAUUUGAGGUAGUGAAAAGAUACACUAGUUAUGCAAUUAAUGGUUUUAGGUUUCACACAAAGAAGAGAGAGAGAUAUUUGAAAACACUAAAUAGUGGAGUAGUUGUAAAGACUAAAACUUCAAAAGAUGAAAUUGAUUACUUUGGACAAUUAACUGAUAUAAUUUAGUUAGAUUAUUCUAGCAAGUACAAGGUUGUUCUAUUCAAAUGUAAUUGGAUUGAUAUUAAGAGAGGUGUCAAGAAAGAUAAGUUUGGACUGACACUUGUGAAUUUCAAAUUUUUAAAAAAUACUGGAAAAAAUAUUUGCGAUGACCCAUUUAUUUUUGCAUCACAAGCUAAAAAGGUGUUUUAUGUAUACGAUGAGAAAAACAAGGACUGUUUUGUUGUUCUGAAUGCAAAGGUCAAGGAUAUCUAUGAUAUGGGGGAUGAAGAAUCUAACAAAGUUGAAGAAAUUUCUGAGUAAAUAAUACAUGAUACAAGUGAAGAUACUCGGAAUGUUAUUGAUUUAGUUAGACUUGAAGUUGAGGAUGAUAAUGAUUUCUUUGAAGUUGUUGUGGAUGUUGAUAAUCUUGGUGAUAAUGAAAAUGAAGAGGAAGAGGAAGAAUGAGAGAAUAUGUUUUAGGUGUGCACCUUGAGUUAAUGUUUUAGACGUGAAUUUAUGUUUGUCCAAUUUUUUGUUCAUGUAUUAUAAUACUUACUUGAGAUUAUUUCAAAAGUAUUUUUUAUUUGGAGCAACAAUGACACGAAGAAAAAAAGUUAAAUAUUAGAAAUCGGACAAAUGUUAACGAAGAAAUACAAAAUGUUCACACUCAUACAAACGCAACCGACAUGCAAGAAAGUAAUGUUGCAGAAGUUGUCAUACAUGAGUCUAUAGAAUCUCACUCUAUUCCUUCUGACAUAGAAGCUGAAAAAGAACCAAUUGAAAAAAAUGUAGAACCUAAAUGGGUUAGAGGUCCAACAAGAAUGCUAGAUUUAUGGGAGACGGUGAUGUCAUAAUUGUUCAUUUGGACAACCACGGUCGGCCCAUUGGGAAUGAAGCAACAACUCUUAACCGUUUCAUAGGUAGUGUGGUUAGAAGACAUCAAUAUGCUCCAAUCGGCUACAAAUCAUGGAAAGAUAUGUCAACGAGAUUCAAAGAAGAAAUGCAGAAAUUGAUAGAGAUAAAAAAAGAGCAAAGGAGUGGUACCUAGACGUGAAGAGAUUUACGUUGAAACUUGUACUCGUAAAGAUGAGUCAAUUGUCAAUGAAAAGGCUGCAAGAGUGAUUGAAGAAUUGAGCAAAUAUAGUAAUGAGGUUGGAACAUCUCAAUCACUCCAAAACACACAAGGCUCUUUGUCUUGGAAGAAUGAUUUAUUUUCUGGAGUACAAGGACCUUCUAAGAAGGGACAUGUGUGAUGUAUGGACAAGUUUCCUAAAUCCAAAAAAUCAAAAGUUUCUAUGUCUAAAAAUGAAGAGUUACAUGAUAAAUUUAAAUAUAUGAAAAGUUUGUUGACAAAUGUUAUGACCUUGAUUCAAAAUCGUUUUUGUGGAGAAGAUGUGAAUGACAUAAUCCAAGCUGCACGACAGAUUUCCGAUGCUUCUAGUGCUCUUACUCAUUUGAAUUCUCCUAGUUCAAACAACAACGAAGACAAUGAAAAAGGUGAAGAUUAAAAGCUAUUUUGUGGAUGAGGAUGAAGUUUUGGUAAUUAGGUGGACGUGAUUUUCUUAAACUUUUUGAGAUGGUUGUAUAAGACUUUGUUAUGUUAGUAAGACAAUCUUUUUUAUGAUUAGUAAAUACUCUCAAUUAGAAAUGGUUUAACUAUUUUCAAUUUCAUAUA